rnacentral:rRNA from 1 species
UACGGAGGGUGCAAACGUUGCUCGGAAUCAUUGGGCGUAAAGCGCACGUAGGCGGACCGCUAAGUCGGAUGUGAAAGCCCUCGGCUUAACCGAGGAAGUGCAUUCGAAACUGACGGUCUUGAGUAUGGAAGAGGGUCGCGGAAUUCCCGGUGUAGAGGUGAAAUUCGUAGAUAUCGGGAGGAACACCAGUGGCGAAGGCGGCGACCUGGGCAGAUACUGACGCUGAGGUGCGAAAGCGUGGGGAGCAAACAGG